rnacentral:snRNA from 1 species
GGAUGUGAGGGCAAUCUGACUGCAACGUCUGUCACCCCAUUGAUCACCAGGGUUGAUUCGGCUGUUCUGGCUGGCUAGGCAGGUGUCCCCUUUCAUGCUCACUGCUCUAUGUGCGUCCCUCCCAAAGCUGUACACUCGGUCGAAGAGGACAACCUACCCCAAUAGAGACAUAGCGUUCAUUGGUUAAGGGUAUACAGUAGCUGUGCUCCCCUGAUAGAAUCUCCAAACAAGCUCAAGGUCCAUUUAUUUUAAAUCAGAGAGGAAAAAAAAGAAAAAAAAAUGGGGACAGACUUUUUAGCAGGGCCUGUUGCAAUAGGA